UAUUGCACAAUGGGCGAAAGCCUGAUGCAGCGACGCCGCGUGAGUGAAGAAGUAUCUCGGUANGUAAAGCUCUAUCAGCAGGGAANNCCNNNANGGUACCUGACUAAGAAGCCCCGGCUAACUACGUGCCNGCAGCCGCGGUAAUACGUAGGGGGCAAGCGUUAUCCGGAUUUACUGGGUGUAAAGGGAGCGUAGACGGCGACGCAAGUCUGGAGUGAAAGCCCGGGGCUCAACCCCGGGACUGCUUUGGAAACUGUAAAACUGGAGUGCAGGAGAGGCAGGCGGAAUUCCUAGUGUAGCGGUGAAAUGCGUAGAUAUUAGGAGGAACACCAGUGGCGAAGGCGGCCUGCUGGACUGUAACUGACGUUGAGGCUCGAAGGCGUGGGGAGCAAA
rnacentral:rRNA from 1 species